UGAGGAAUAUUGGUCAAUGGGCGCAAGCCUGAACCAGCCAUGCCGCGUGCAGGAAGACGGUCCUAUGGAUUGUAAACUGCUUUUAUUAGGGAAUAAACCUCUUUACGUGUAGAGAGCUGAAGGUACCUAAUGAAUAAGCACCGGCUAACUCCGUGCCAGCAGCCGCGGUAAUACGGAGGGUGCAAGCGUUAUCCGGAAUCAUUGGGUUUAAAGGGUCCGCAGGCGGAUUUAUAAGUCAGUGGUGAAAGCCCGUCGCUCAACGACGGAACUGCCAUUGAUACUGUAAGUCUUGAAUUCGGUCGAAGUGGGCGGAAUAUGACAUGUAGCGGUGAAAUGCUUAGAUAUGUCAUAGAACACCGAUAGCGAAGGCAGCUCACUAGGCCUGGAUUGACGCUCAGGGACGAAAGCGUGGGGAGCAAACA
rnacentral:rRNA from 1 species